rfam:Oryza meridionalis cultivar OR44 (W2112) chromosome 3, whole genome shotgun sequence.
UUUAAGAGCAACCAUGAGUUUCCACGUUUAACUUUGAUCGUUCGUCUUAUUUGAAAAUUUUUUAUAAUUAUUAUUUUUGUUGUUAUGAGAUGAUAAAAUAUGAAUAGUACUUUACUCAUGACUUAUGUUUUUAAAUUUUUUCAAAUAAGACGGGCGAUCAAAGUUGGGAACAGAAAAACAUGGCUGCACUUAAA